UACAGAGGUCUCAAGCGUUGUUCGGAUUCAUUGGGCGUAAAGGGUGCGUAGGCGGCGCGGUAAGUCGGGUGUGAAAUCUUGGAGCUUAACUCCGAAACUGCAUUCGAUACUGCCGUGCUUGAGGACUGGAGAGGAGACUGGAAUUUACGGUGUAGCGGUGAAAUGCGUAGAUAUCGUAAGGAAGACCAGUGGCGAAGGCGGGUCUCUGGACAGUUCCUGACACUGAUGCACGAAGGCCAGGGGAGCAAACGGG
rnacentral:rRNA from 1 species